rnacentral:misc_RNA from 1 species
ACCGACGAUGGCGACUACAACAUCAAGAUGCGCAACAUCCGGCGCUUUCUUGAGGAUGGCGACAAGUGCAAGAUCACGCUGCGCUUCCGGGGGCGCGAGAUCACGCACCAGGAACUCGGUCUGGCCCUGCUGCAGCGCAUCCGCGACGAGCUCGGCGACACGAUCCUCGUCGAGCAGUUUCCGAAGCUCGAAGGCCGGCAGAUGAUCAUGAUGAUCGCGCCGGGCCGCAAGAAGCCCGGCAGCGCGCCGGCAAAGUCGGCGACGGAAGCCGCCGCGGCACCGA